CGUCUUCAGGGCGGGGUGCAAGUCCCCACCGGCGGUCAAAGUCCGCGAGCGCAAGCUGAACCGGUGUGAUUCCGGUACCGACAGUUACAGUCUGGAUGGAAGAAGACG
rnacentral:ncRNA from 1 species